AUAUUUGUAGGAUUUUUGCAUGUUAAGUAUGAUUUUUUGAUUUCUCAUCAAAUACACAUUCAAUCGUAACUCAAAUCAUGAAGAAUAAACAUUUUCAAUGUGCUUUUCUGUCAUUCUUCGUUUGGUCGUUGAAGGGUUCGGACGUGUUUUUCGAAGCUCUCGACGUCGUGACCUCAUUAUAAUUUGAACUGCGCGGGUAAAGAACGCUCAGUUGCGACUUGGAUAUUGACCAAUACGGACGUGUUUUUAAAGCGCUCUGAAAAAAGUUUUGACUUUUUAUUUUUUUUUACUAUGACAGAAUCUUAGUUGACUGAUGGUCUUUGACAAAGACAGACUUGUUUUUGUGAGCUCUGAAAAAAAUUUGACUUUGAAAUAUUUUUACGAUUAAAAAGUUUCAGUUGACUUUUGAACGUUAACGAAGACGGACGUACUUUCGUGAGCUCUGACUAUUGAUGAAAAGUUUUGAGUUUUACUGACUUGUACUUUGAGAGUAAAAUUGACUUCGCGUUAUAGAAUAGCGACUUGGUACUCAGGUUGUUGAAUGACUGGAUGACUGUAGUGUUAGGUUAUUGUUAUGAGAUAACAACUUGACUUUGACUUGAGUUGUGAAAUAAAAUCAUACUCUUGAACGUUUAGUAUGGACUGACAACGAACUUUUGUGAGCGUUAUAUAUGAAAUGUUUGACUUACAUUAAUUUUUUUGAACGACUUGACUUCAAUUUAAGUUUUGACAUCGGACUGAUCGGACGUGUUUUUUUAAGCCCUGACUGUUGUGAAUAAUUAAAUUUAUGUUGUGGUGUCAAGCGAUUGACUGUCAGUUGAGGUUCAGAUGUCGAGCUGUGCGGACGUGUUCAUCGAGCUGCUGUCUACAAAAAACUGGGCUGUGGUGAGUACUGUAGAUUGUAUUGCCUAUGUAUAGAAUUCAAUAAAAGAUUAUGACUGAAAACUGCUUUUGAUUCUUUUUGAACAGUUUUAGGGACUAUAAGUCUAUAACAAAAAUAUGUCGGUUGGCGUUCAUACAGCAAUGUUUUGAGUAGUACAGAAAUGUUUCUACGUUUGUGGUCGCCAGUUGUCUGUGAUGUGUAAAGUGAAAAAUACACGGAGCUUUGAAUACAACAAACAUUUACUGUUUUAACACAGAUUGUGUGCUAUGCAUUUUUCGAUGUAGAUCUUUUUCAGAUUUGACAUGAAAUGUAGACCUGACAUUUGAACAGAGCUGGGAAACGAAAAGGUAAGUUUGUUAAAUUUCACAAUGAACACUUGUGUUUUGACAAAAGAAGAGAUAAAGUGAGUUUUGUCAUCAUCAUGGUUUCUUUCAGAGUAUAACUCGUGAACAGAUGAAAACCUAUUUUUUGCUAGAUUUUCAUGUACUCUUUUUUUGGAUGAUAAGUAUGUCAGUAACUCAAAAUCAUACGGCUAGUACAGUAUGGAACAUGAAUGCUUUGUUCAGAUUUUCAGAUGUGUGCUGGCAGUUUAAGUCUGGCAGCUGAAGUGAACAGUCGUGUUUUCUGGAGCUCCAACAAUAUGCUAGAAGGUAAGUAACUAUGUUUGUUUUGCAUUGCAUGUUUUUAUAUGUUUCAGACUUUCAAGCAGAGAUGUCAUGCUGACUGGAGUUGAGCACAGGGCAGUGACAAAGUGAAAGGUAAGUACUUUUGACUGAAUGUUUGUUCUAUGCAUGUUUUGUUUCAAUACAUUUCAGGAGUGCUUAUCCAGUGAUGAUAUGACAGUUGGAGUGAACAGUGGAGCCAAGCAGUCUUGUUUUUGGAGCUACUCAACAAGCCUUGAAGGUAAGUUUAGAAUUUCUCAAUGUUAGUGAAUUGAAGUACUGUCACUUGCUUUUGGACAGUCGAACAGAACAGACGUGGUUGCGAGAGCUCUCAUAUCUGUUGUGUUAAACUGUUUUUAUGAUAUGUUAUGUUUGUUUGUUUGUUUGUGAUGUACUAUUUUUCAGAUGCUGAUGGCAGUGAUGGGUUUUCAAGCUGACCUGAACAGAAAAGCACUCAUAUGGUAAGUACAAAAUAGUUGUUAUAUGGGAUGUUUUGUGCAUGCUUUUAUGUUUCAGGUGUACUUGCUGACAGCGACGAAGACGAAUCAAGAAGAGGAACAUUGUUGAGAAAGUGAUUGGGACUUGAAAACAGGGUAAGUGUAACACUUGUGUUUGUUUAAUUUGUAACAUGCGUGCUUUGCUCUGUUUCAGAUUUCACAUGCAGAAAUUAAACAGGAUUUCAACUGCUGAGACACAAAUCAUCAAAAGUAAGGUAAGUUUUAAUCCAUUGAUUUGAGUUGUACAAUGUGUUCUUUACUUUAUUUCAGAUUCGAGUCACUGGUUUACACAUGGAAGAAGAUUUCCACGUCUGUUACUCAACUCUACAGAAGCAAGGUAAGUCGAUCAAAUUUUUGUUUUCAUUUGUACUGCUGUAAUGUGAUGGUAAACUUAUGCUAUUUUUCAUGUGUGUCAUGUACAGAUGGAUAAUUCAAGUUUGAUCUGUGUUGGUUUAUGUUCAAAAACGUUUUACAUGUAUGUGUGUUUGAAGAUGUUUUGUUUCAGUGGAUGUCCAGAUGGCAAGCAGUACAGACGUGUUUCUUGGAGCUGCCAAACAGUGAGUACAAACGUUUUAUAUUUUUCAGUUGUUUACUCAUAGAAGUCUGUGAAAGAUGAUAACAAGGGUUGAAUCUAUCAGUACUUGUGUCUAAAAAUGCUGAUGUGUGACGGUUUACUGAAAAGGGUAAAUGCUAGCCAGUACUAACACUUGAGCAACCGUGGGAUGUCGAACUAACUGAUGAUGUACUAUGAUGGUGAACACUUACUAUGUGUAUCGAAAUGCUUUUGUUGAUAUUUAUUAUAGAUGAUUUGAUAUUGGUUAACAUUUGUUUGCAUGCUGUUAACAUUUCUAUUUCAUUUUAGGGAGCUGUGGUGAGUAUUGUAGUAUACAUUUGUUUCAAUAAUGUUUGAGUAGUACAAAAAUGUCUUUACUUUUGUAAUCGCCAGUUGUCUGUGAUAUGUAACGUAAACAAAAAACACAGCUAUGAAGCAUACAAUUGUUUCGAAAUUUUAUCAAUGAUUGUAUACUAUGCAUGUUUUGAUUUAGUUCGUUUCAGAUAUGACAUGACCUGAAGAGUUGACAGUCGAACAGAGCUGAGCAAUGCAGAAAGGUAAGUGUGUUUCAUUUUAGUAUGAACACUUGUAUUUUGUUUUUAUAUGGUAUGUUUUGUGCAUGCUAUGUUUCAGGUGUACUUGUAGUCAGCGACGAAGACGAUUCAAGAAGAGAAACAUUGCUGAGAAAGUGAAUGGGACUUGCAAACAGGGUAAGUGUUACAAUUGUGUUUGUUUGAUUUUUGCCAUGCAUACUUUGCUUUGCUCUGUUUCAGAUUUCACAUGCAGAAAUGGUCUCAUAGCAGUGCCAACAGUGAAUAAGGAUUUCAGCUGCUGUGAAACAACUCAACAGAAAGUAGGUAAGCAUUGAAUGAAUGCACUUGAGUUGUACAAUUUGAUGUGAUGCUUUUCUCUGUUUCAGAUUCAAGUUCCUGGUGUAGACAGAGAAAUGUGUUUGAAGAAGGAAUUCUACUACUGUGAUUCAACUCUACAGAAGCAAGGUAAGUAGAAACACAAUUUUGGUUUAAUUUAACUCAUGUGUUUUGCACUGCAUGCUAUUUUUCAGGUCUCUCAUGCAGUGAUGCAAAAGAAGAAGAUUUCAAGAAAGAAUCACUGCUGCAACUCAGGCCUAUAACAAGGUAAGUGUUUACUAUAUUGUAUACAAAAUGUUUCUCUGUUUUACUCUGUUUGAAGGUUUCAAUUGCAGAGAUGUUGCAGAGAUGUUUUGACAGCUUGUGACAGAAAAGAAAUUCAGCAGCUGUGUCUCGACUCUAGCCACGAGGUAAGUCAAAACAAAUAUACUGGUUUGUAUGUUAUGUUGUUAUGCCCUUCUAUGUUUCAGACUUACAUUGCUGUGACUGUUCCACAGUGGGUCAAAAAAGAGACGAAUACAGGCUUCAAGAAGAAAAUUGGCUGUUGAAAACCUGCACAAAAUAUGAGGUAAGUAAACUAUUCUUUUGGUUUGUUUUGUGCUUUGUUAUGCUUAACUAUUUUUCAGAUUGGAAUGGUGGGUCGUUACAGAGCAGACUUUUGGACAACUGAGAAGUUGAGAAACAGAGAAUGAUUCAAGAUCAGCUAGGUAAGUCUUGAUUAUUGUGCAUUGCUAAAUGUUUUUUUUCAUUCCAGUAUGGCUGUGGUAAGUACACAAACUUUCUAUAAUUUAAUAUUGAACUGUUUUUAUGACCUGUAUUCUGCAUUGUAAAAUGUCUGUUUUUCAUUUCAGUAUCCUGUGGUAAGUACACUAACUUUCUUUAAUUUUCAUAUUGAACUGUUUUGAUGACUUGUAUACUACUAUGCAAUGCCUAAUGUUUUUUUCAUUUCAGUAGCCUGUUGGUAAGUACACUAACUUUCUAUAAUUUCAUAGUGAAUUGUUUUGAUGACCUGUAUUCUGCAUUGUAAAAUGUGUUUCUUUUUCAUUUCAGUAUGGCUGUGGUAAGUACAAUUGCCUUUCAUAUUGAACUGAUUUGAUGACCUGUAUUUUGCAUUGUAAAAUGUGUUUCUUUUUCAUUUCAGUAUGGCUGUGGUAAGUACACAAACUUUCUUUAAUUUUCAUAUUGAACUGUUUUGAUGACUUGUAUUCUACUAUGCAAUGCUUAAUGUAUUUUUUUCAGUAGCCUGUUGGUAAGUACAAUUGCCUUCUUUAAUUUUCAUAUUGAACUGUUUUGAUGAUGUGUAUACUGCUAUGCAAUGCUUAAUGUUUUUUUCAUUUCAGUAUGGCUGUGGUAAGUACACAAACUUUCUUUAAUUUUCAUAUUGAACUGUUUUGAUGACCUGUAUUUUGCAUUGUAAAAUGUGUUUCUUUUUCAUUUCAGUAUGGCUGUGGUAAGUACACUAACUUUCUUUAAUUUUCAUAUUGAACUGUUUUGAUGACUUGUAUUCUGCUAAACAAAAUGUGCUUUUUUCAAUUUCAGGUCAGCAAUGGUAAGUAGAUUGUGUUUCUUUAUGUAUAAUUGUGUAUACAAAGUUUUUUUUUCAUCAUAGCAUGUCUUUUAUAUUUAUGCUUCGUGUAAGUAAAAUGUUCAUAAAUCAUUCUUAUCUUCAAACUAAAAAUGUAUUGUGCUAUGCAAAAUAUCUGUAUGUUUUCAGUUGCCAGAGGUGAGUACCAUUACAGUUGAAAAGUUAGUUUUGUUUAGUUAAAGUUUUGGUUCACAGUUCUGUUUGUUAUUUGGCAAAAUUUACAUGUAUGCAUUGAGUCUUGAUUUCAGCUCGAUUGUGGACUGAAGAAGAUUGCCAGCAGAGGGAUUGGAUACAAAAUACAAAGUAAGUACUGAGUUUCUUACUAAAAGUUUUGAGUUGUAUUCAUUGUGUGUUAAUAUGCUAUGAUUGCUAUGAACAUGACUUUUGUAUUUCAGCGAAGACAACAUAGGUAAGUAAAAUUGUUAUCUGUUUCAUGUUUACUGUUACAGUUCAAUAUUGUGUUUAUAAAUUGUAAGUUGUACAAACACAUUCAAAAGUUUCUAAUCAUGCUUUCGAUUUCAUUUCAGCUUUACUGCUAGACGAGUGUUCUCUACUACUUGACGAGUCAGCUUUACUACCAGGCGAGCAGUGACAACAAGGCGCCUUUGUGGAAACAACACAACAAAAAACUGUACUGCUAGACGAGCAGUGACAGAAAGGCGCCUGAACAUGCAACACAAAACAAAAAAUGCCAAUUUGCAAACCUUGAUGUGGAAACCGAGUAGUCAAUACAUACGUGUGGCGUAUAGCUGCGACAAAACCGUGGGUCCAUCGCACCGAUAACUUGAACAUUGGCCCGUGUAUGGACAUCAGUGCAACUUUGUGAAUCCAUGUAACUUUGUGAAUCCAUGUAACAUUGCGAAUGUGUGUCGAUCGAAAAAUGUGAACAUUAUGCAAUGAAACGAACUCGGUGUUGCAAGUGGCAAGUGUUGACAGUGUGCAUGUUUAUGUUUAUGCUUUUACAUGAAAAAUAAAGGAGAUUGUUCUCCUACCUUUUUUUUCCUUGUUUUAUUGUGCUGGCCAGCAAUAUUGAUGUAUUGAUGUAUUGAUGUAUGUGUUUGUGUAUUAACGAUGUAUUAACUAUGCAUUACCAAAAUCUAACAAAACUUUGGCACAAGAGACUCUAAGUAUCAAAUACCAACAAUUUAGACGCAGACAAUCACAUGGUGGUACACCAGUCCGAAUAUACUCAUUGCUCUAGCCAGGAUUGCAAAUUACUUGUGUUGACUAGCAAGGCUCCCUAGUAACGGAGCAGUGUUACUGGCGUUUUUUGGGUCGAUAGUGCUUAGGUGAGGUUUUGCUCGAAUCGGGAGCGGGUCACUCGCUUGGGCGAGUUAGUUUUCGCUCGUAGUUUCCAAUCUGGCUAGAUCAAUGUAAGGUUGUUUUGACUGCUAUUUGGCAAGCAGAAAGACAACAGCGGUUAAUUGACUGAGUAUGGGCGACCGAGGUAUGUAGGUGUCAAUAGACCGACUCCACAAGUUGCGAAGCGAACCGAUAGCACUUGAGGGGAAACGCCUCGGUUUUCGGUUCUAACAUGUGUUAUCCAUGCUGUCGUUAUACUCUGGCAAGGCUCCUCAAUCUAUCGCGAGGGACACUCAUUAUUGCCCGCAAGCUUUAGAACCUGACGUGGGUCGAUGCGUAUGCGAGUCCGAGGACGCGAUGGCAUUUGAUAAGGCUACCAACCGGUUGAUAACACGCAUUGUUCAAAUUGUUAGGUUUAAGUCUGCUAGGGCUGGGGUGGGAA